UAUGCUUGUAGUGAAAACGAAAACAGCUUACAAUAUUUUUUAGAUAUAUACAUAUAUAAUCGUUUAUAAAAUGUAUCCGUCAAAGUGAAAAAAUAUAUAACAUGUAAAAAUACAUAGAUCAUUCAUUUAUUGCAAUCAAUUAUAUCAAACAUGUUAGUUAAAAUAAUUUCUAGAACCAGUCACUCUCUGUAGAUAUAAUGCGUCGGACAUUGUAUGCAUAAAAAUAAAAUCUCGAUUUUUAACUGUAUGAAAUAAAAUUAGUAAGAGUUUCGCGGAACACAAUGUCUCGCCUUCGUUUGCCGUAAACUUGAACUCUCAGGGUGAGGCUGAACAAAAUCAAGACACUAUAUUUUGAUUGUUAUGAGCUUCUGUCCAAGUUCACAAAUAUUUCCGGUGCCUAUAAAAUAGCCGACUUUAAUUAAGUUAUUUGAAUCUGAGCUGGCAAAAUAGCAUAUUAUCUAUUAUGGUGGUAUCGGCAAAACAGCUACAAGUAUUGCCUUUAAUGAAAAUGCAUAUCAAUUUUAAAUACUAUUCUGAUUAAAAUAGCUUUGAGAAUCGUGUAAAAAGCGUUCGUUGUUCAGUCGUCAAUGAAUCAUUCAACGUGCGUGUAUCGUGCGUGCGUGUAUCGUGCGUGCGUGUAUCGUGUAUUUAUCAUUCAUCGUGCAUCGUGCGUGUAUCGUGCGUUCAUCAUUCAUCAUUCAUUUUGCGUUAAUCCUCCGUGUAACGCUCAUCGCUCAUCGUGCGUGUAUCGUGUAUCGUGCGUGUAUCGUGCAUUCACCGUGCGUGUAUAGUGCGUGUGGUCAG
rnacentral:lncRNA from 1 species